rnacentral:rRNA from 1 species
AGAGUUUGAUCCUGGCUCAGAUUGAACGCUGGCGGCAUGCCUUACACAUGCAAGUCGAACGGCAGCAUGAUCUAGCUUGCUAGAUUGAUGGCGAGUGGCGAACGGGUGAGUAAUACAUCGGAACGUGCCCUGUAGUGGGGGAUAACUAGUCGAAAGAUUAGCUAAUACCGCAUACGACCUGAGGGUGAAAGUGGGGGACCGCAAGGCCUCAUGCUAUAGGAGCGGCCGAUGUCUGAUUAGCUAGUUGGUGAGGUAAAGGCUCACCAAGGCGACGAUCAGUAGCUGNUCUGAGAGGACGAUCAGCCACACUGGGACUGAGACACGGCCCAGACUCCUACGGGAGGCAGCAGUGGGGAAUUUUGGACAAUGGGGGCAACCCUGAUCCAGCAAUGCCGCGUGUGUGAAGAAGGCCUUCGGGUUGUAAAGCACUUUUGUCCGGAAAGAAAUCGCACUUACUAAUAUUAGGUGUGGAUGACGGUACCGGAAGAAUAAGGACCGGCUAACUACGUGCCAGCAGCCGCGGUAAUACGUAGGGUCCAAGCGUUAAUCGGAAUUACUGGGCGUAAAGCGUGCGCAGGCGGUUGUGCAAGACCGAUGUGAAAUCCCCGGGCUUAACCUGGGAAUUGCAUUGGUGACUGCACGGCUAGAGUGUGUCAGAGGGGGGUAGAAUUCCACGUGUAGCAGUGAAAUGCGUAGAGAUGUGGAGGAAUACCGAUGGCGAAGGCAGCCCCCUGGGAUAACACUGACGCUCAUGCACGAAAGCGUGGGGAGCAAACAGGAUUAGAUACCCCGGUAGUCC